AGCAGUGGGGAAUUUUGGACAAUGGGCGAAAGCCUGAUCCAGCAAUGCCGCGUGUGUGAAGAAGGCCUUCGGGUUGUAAAGCACUCUUGUCCGGAAAGAAAUCCUCUGGGUUAAUACCUCGGGGGGAUGACGGUACCGGAAGAAUAAGCACCGGCUAACUACGUGCCAGCAGCCGCGGUAAUACGUAGGGUGCAAGCGUUAAUCGGAAUUACUGGGCGUAAAGCGUGCGCAGGCGGUUUUGUAAGACGGAUGUGAAAUCCCCGGGCUUAACCUGGGAACUGCAUUCGUGACUGCAAGGCUAGAGUAUGGCAGAGGGGGGUAGAAUUCCACGUGUAGCAGUGAAAUGCGUAGAGAUGUGGAGGAAUACCGAUGGCGAAGGCAGCCCCCUGGGCCAAUACUGACGCUCAUGCACGAAAGCGUGGGGAGCAAACAGGAUUAGAUACCCUGGUAGUCCACGCCCUAAACGAUGUCAACUAGUUGUUGGGGAUUCAUUUCCUUAGUAACGAAGCUAACGCGUGAAGUUGACCGCCUGGGGGGUACGGUCGCAAGAUUAAAACUCAAAGGAAUUGACGGGGACCCGCACAAGCGGUGGAUGAUGUGGAUUAAUUCGAUGCAACGCGAAAAACCUUACCUACCCUUGACAUGUACGGAAUCCUGCUGAGAGGUGGGAGUGCUCGAAAGAGAACCGUAACACAGGUGCUGCAUGGUUGUCGUCAGCUCGUGUCGUGAGAUGUUGGGUUAAGUCCCGCAACGAGCGCAACCCUU
rnacentral:rRNA from 1 species